CCGAGCCCCACGCAUCCCUACCUGGAAAUGGAAUCAAUCAGAGUAUAGUUUUGGUCAUUGAUUUGAUGAAGCAGACAAUGUGUCUAAGGUGGUAUAAUCUAACAAGCUGUUCAGGUACUGAGUAAUGCUUAUUUUUUUUGUUUUCCAGUUCAUGAGGAUGAUUUUCUUUGCGACACAGAGGGCAGAAAGAAGUGUGUGUGAUGAGUUUGUCUCUAGAUCAAGCCCACUUAGAUCUACUAGAAGACAAAGUGCAGGGGCUGGGAGUAUGUGAACACCUGUCAACCCAGUUAAGCUGUCCAAUCCCAGCGGCCCCUGCACUUUGUCUUCUAGGAGAUCUAAGUGGGCUUGAUCUAGAGACAAACUCAUCACACACACUUCUUUCUGCCCUCUGUGUCGCAAAGAAAAUCAUCCUUAUGAGCUGGAAAACUAAAAAAAAUUAAGCAUUACUCAGUACCUGAACAGCCUGCUUCAUUCUUGUCUGCUUCAUCAAAUCAAUGACCAAAACUAUACUCCUGAUUUAUUCCAUUUCCAGGUAAGGAUGCGUGGGGCUCGGGUACUGCGUCAUGUCUGGCACAGUGCUGGGGGGGUGACUGGUGGUUGGGGGUGCCUGCCUACCUAAGGAACCAGGACAACGGGACUGGUGGACUCUGAGCUCGCCGCAUGGGGGGUGUGGUGGCUGCUGAGACCGGCGGUCCUGUGCCGGAGUAGGGCCUUUCUGAGGGUUGGCGUGUGCCUGUCUCCGGGGAGCGGAGGCGGGCCUCCCUGCCGGUGUGCGGGGGGGCGGACCUGGGGGUGGAGACCUGGGUGACCUGCAUCCGGGGGACUCCCUUCGGGGGUGCCUGCCUGUGCCUGGAGGGGUGUCUCUCCCCUGGGGCGCUGCCCCUGCUCGGGUGGGGCGCUGCCUGCCCUAGCGGUCCGACGCCCUCUGGUGACUGCUCGGGCCUGUUGCAGGGGGUGUUGGUGGACUACUCAGGCUACAACCUUCAUUGGGCCCUGGGCGGAGGUUGGCCCUCAAUGCACAACCGCAGAGUAUGUGUGUGGGUUUAAGUGUAGCACUACACGGGGCGAGCAUGGGCAUACUUGAGCGAGAGAAUGGGUAAGUGUGAAAGAAGGGUGAGGAUGGCUCUGGCUGUGCUGCGUGUGGCGCCUGGGCAGUAGUACUGCGUUCUCUGGGUCUCGGCUGUCUUUCCUGGCUGGGGGCUAUGGGGGGCAGUGGGAUGGGUAGCAGAGCCAGUCGGGAACCUGGCUCUGCGGACCCUGGUGCUCUGCUUCCCAACUACAUUUCUCCACAUUCAUCCACUUAGGUCUGCAAGGGGCAUCCUGCUGAUGGAGGGACCGGUGCUACCGGGAAGUGGUUCCGUCCCUCCCAAGUGGGAUGCUCUGCAGUUUUAAUUGCAUUAGCCAUACACACUCGUCAAGGAAUCUGGGUGCUCCUUCCGG
rnacentral:lncRNA from 1 species